rnacentral:rRNA from 1 species
GAUGAACGCUGGCGGCGUGCUUAACACAUGCAAGUCGAACGGAAAGGCCCCAGCUUGCUGUGGUGCUCGAGUGGCGAACGGGUGAGUAACACGUGGGUGAUCUGCCCUGUACUUCGGGAUAAGCUCGGGAAACUGGGUCUAAUACCGGAUAGGAAUCCCAGGUGGGUGGGUGGUUGGGAAGCUUUUGCGGUUUGGGAUGUGCACGCGGCCUAUCAGCUUGUUGGUGGGGUAUUGGCCUACCAAGGCGUUGACGGGUAGCCGGCCUGAGAGGGUGUACGGCCACAUUGGGACUGAGGUACGGCCCAGACUCCUACGGGAGGCAGCAGUAGGGAAUAUUGCACAAUGGGCGGAAGCCUGAUGCAGCGACGCCGCGUGGGGGAUGACGGCCUUCGGGUUGUAAACUGCUUUCGUCAGUGACGAAGCGAAAGUGACGGUACCUGGUAAAGAAGCACCGGCUAACUACGUG